rnacentral:lncRNA from 1 species
CUUCAGGUUCUAAUUCUCUGCACAAUUUUUCUGAGAUGAUGAGUAAAUUAAUCUUUGCAAGAUCACUGCUGAGAUUACAUGCUGACUUGUGUAGAUGCACAGCACAAGAACACAAACAUCGAGGUCUCCAAGAAAAUGCCACAUCUAAUUAGCACCUUACUUAGAACUCUACUAACUAUACUAAAACUCUACUAACUUUCAACGAUAACAAUAAAAGACAAAAGCAACCACAUGCACAUGUUUACAUAGCAACAUACCAUAAAAUAAAACUUUACAUGCCGAAGAAGAUCCGAUAAAAGCAUAAAGAGCUGUGUACCAGGGGGCCAAGCUGCUGCAUUUUCAUCAGCCCCCUCCAACUCUUAAGCUCUAGUACAAGAACUUCUUAGUAAUAUACAUUAAACAUUUAUUUACUCACAUAGUAAAACAAACAUAUAUUGAAUGCAAAUAACAAAAUAAAAACCCUUAAUUUUAAUAAUUAGGGUUUCAAUCAAAACUCAUGAACUCAAACUAAAUUAAAACUCUAGUAGAUAAAGUAAACCAAAACCCACUUCCUAAGAGAUGCAAAAAUACUUACUCUUUGAUAUAAACAACUCGAUUAAGAUGUAAAACCAUGAGUUGAGAGAUGAACUCGAACCAUGUACUCAAUGUUCAUCAUUGACAGGCGAAUACAAGCAUAAUUCUAAAUGAAACUAAAACACGCGACGAGAGGCGAAGAAUCAAUUAAGACAAUCAAUCUAGGAUAUUUAUAUUUUGGCAUCUAAAGGAUGAAAUUCGAUAAAGAAGCACAAUAAUCUCAACUAAAAGAUAUCAUACCUGUGACGGUGCUUCUUAAUUUGAUUUAUUAGCGAGUUCAACCAUGAUAGAUUCUGUGUAUUCCAUUCACAAACUCUGAGUAAGAUCAUUGGCGUGAAGACUACUAAACCGUACGUAACGAUGAAAACAACUACGGAUCAUAAAUCGACGUUAAAUCGAUGUAUAGUUGAUCGAACAUUUGUUCAUUACCAUUCAUGCCUAUUGAGGGGACAUCAAAUAGGUUAUAUGUAAUUGUUAUGGUAGGGUUUUAUUGGGCUUUGUCAAACCCAACAUCUAUACGGGCC